ACAUUCUCUCCUUUGGACAACUAGAUGGAUCUGGAUAGAGGGAAAAUGCUGAUACUGCGAGAUUUAUUUGUUGGACUCUGUAAAGAUGGAAAUUGCAGGAUAGAGGGAACAUCUUCCCGUUUGGAUUUGUUAAAAAUUGUGAAACCAAGAGCCCGUGGCUAAUUUUUAUGAUUAAUAUGCUGUAUGGUAUUAGUUUUAUCAUAUACUAGUUCUAAAAAUUUAAGUUUUAAAU
rnacentral:lncRNA from 1 species